rnacentral:misc_RNA from 1 species
CCUCCCCUAUAAUUGCAAAUAUUUCAUCCACCCUAUGGAUAUCUAUAUUCACCUCUGCCAGCCAUGUUGUUAGGUAAACCUGCAAAAUAUCCUCAUUUGGUUGACUCUUGAAUUGCAUGUUACGCAUAUCAUACUUCCCUUCCACCAAUCUUGGAGGCACUGGUUUACAGGUUUCCUUCGAAUACAAGUUGCAAAUGCUCAGAUCAUCAAAUUCUCCUGGAUAAAGCUCAUUUGACCAAUACAACUCAUUGACUUGUGGAACCUCACAGCUAAUUGUAAGCAACUCCACUACAAGUAGUCUCUUCAAAUUGAGCUCAGAUAUAAACAUUUGAACAAGCUCC